rnacentral:rRNA from 1 species
UACUACCUACGGGGGGCAGCAGUGGGGGAUAUUGCACAAUGGGGGAAACCCUGAUGCAGCGACGCCGCGUGUAGGAAGACGGUCCUCUGGAUUGUAAACUACUGUCCCCAGGGACGAAGAUGACGGUACCUGGGGAGGAAGCUCCGGCUAACUACGUGCCAGCAGCCGCGGAAAUACGUAGGGAGCGAGCGUUGUACGGAAGUACUGGGCGUAAAGGGAGAGUAGGCGGGG